UUUCCGUAGGUGAACCUGCGGAAGGAUCAUUAUCGUACAAAAUGUGAGGGGCAUGCGAGGGCUGUCGCUGACCCACAAGCCGUGCACGCCCGAGUGUGUCCUCUUGCAUAAUAAUCCAUCUCACCCUUUGUGCAUCACCGCGUGGGCACCCUUCGGGAUCAUCUCGGAGGGGGGCUCGCGUUUUCACACAAACCCCCCUUUUAAAAGUGUAGAAUGACCACAUUUAUGCAAUCAAUACAACUUUCAACAACGGAUCUCUUGGCUCUC
rnacentral:misc_RNA from 1 species